CUUUAAGGCAAUUAGGCCUUGACACAUUAGGAAAUAUUGCAGCUGAGCUUUUACUGGACCCUGUUGAUUUCAAAACUACUCAUCUGAUGUUUCAUACUGUUACAAAAUGUCUAAUGUCAAGGGAUAGAUUUUUAAAGAUGAGAGGUGAGUUUUCACUGAAGUAUUUACUUUCUAAAGUAAACAAACUAUCAUUUCUUAGUAAUACAUAUUUGUAUGUUUUUCAGGCAUGGAAAUUUUGGGAAAUCUUUGCAAAGCAGAAGAUAAUGGUGUUUUAAUUUGUGAGUAUGUGGAUCAGGAUUCCUACAGAGAGAUCAUUUGUCAUCUCACUUUACCUGAUGUGCUGCUUGUAAUCUCAACACUCGAGGUGCUAUACAUGCUCACGGAAAUGGGAGAUGUUGCUUGCACAAAAAUUGCAAAAGUAGAAAAGAGCAUAGACAUGUUAGUGUGUCUGGUUUCUAUGGAUAUUCAGAUGUUUGGCCCUGAUGCACUAGCUGCGGUAAAACUCAUUGAACACCCAAGUUCCAGUCAUCAAAUGUUAUCUGAAAUUAGGCCACAAGCUAUAGAGCAAGUCCAAACCCAGACUCAUGUAGCAUCUGCCCCAGGUUAGUGUUUUCACAUAUUCUUUUUCAGUGUGGUUAUGAGUGUAUAAGAUUUGAUCCUAAGAAUAAAUUUCAAUGUGCAGUAUAGAGAACUGAUAUUUUACAGUAGAGUAGGCCAAAGUGGAAUUUGGAUAUGUACUCUAAUUUCUUAGAUAUUAUACAUUCCAGGAGUAGCAGGAUCAAGGUGAGCUCAUAGGAAGAAUAGUAUAAUAGGAAAAUUAAGUUCGGCAGGAUUUAGAGUAAUGUGAUGGAUUAGAUAUUCAUAAUUACGAUAGCUAUAAGUGCCCCAAUAGGCAUAUUUGUGAUUUUGGUCAUGGGAAAUUGACAUGCCAGGAAUAGAUUAUUCAUAUAUUACCUUAUAAUUUUCUCAGGUGAUCGUCAGGACGCGUAAGUAUAAUACUCCUAAUGUCCUUAAGUCUUGGAACCAACACCACAGAAUCAACAGCCUAGGAGAAGACACAUGCACAUAUGUAUACACACACUUACAAGCAUGUAUACCUGCAUUUAUGCACCUUUCCUAGUGUCUCUUAGCUCAAUUCUGUUUAGCUCAACUGUAAUUAUAGUACAGACAUGUCUAAUAACCAGACUUCAGUCCUUGAACUCCUUCCAGUGGCUCAUUAUGAGUCAUCGUUUUUUUAUAUUUUACCACCCUUAACCUUUUUUUAGAGUGCUUUCUCUACCUUGGUUUAUACUAAAAAUACAUAUUUCAUCUCACCUACCCUUCCAUUUCCUAUCCUCUCACCUCCUGCUGUCCCCAAGACACUUAUCUUUCUUUAUAUUUUUUGAAUGGAGGAUGCUCGUGUCCUCAAUUGAUCUUAAUUCUCACUUUGCAAUUAAUACAGAGGCUGUGUAGAAUGAAUUUCUUCAAUUUCUUACUCCUUCAGUUACAAACUUAUUAGCAUCUGGACUCAUUUUCCUUUAGCUUCUGCUCAUUUCAGAAAGAGAUGCUAAUUUCUUCUGAAACUUACUCUGAAUAUCAGUCUUUCCCAUCUCCAUGUUCCCAUAUCUUAAAUCUCUUUUUACUUACUCACUUUUUCCUUUCAGCUAGAAAUGCAUUUAGGUCUCUUAUCCUCCCUCGCUAGCCCCAAACCAAAAAUUUCAUUAUCCUUAAUCUUUAGCCAUCACAUCCAUUCAUCAGAUCUUGUUGAGUCUUCCUAAAUACCUGGCCUUUUCAAUUGCCAGUGCUUAUGAAUGAGAUUGAACUCUCAUCAUCUCUAGCUAUCUGUUCUCACAUUCAUUCAUGGUCCCAAUUUGUCUUCUACUCCAACUUGUAGUAUGAAAAUUAUGUACUCUAUGCAAAGUAUGUAAUAAGUAUCACAUAUUUCAUUGAUUUCCAUUAUGUCCUUCUGAAAUGUAUAGAUUUGUGUCAUAUGUUCACUCAACUAACUUGGAUCCACCUAACAAAAGUGGACAAAUAACAGAAGGCACAAAAUAGAUAAUUUUGACUGCCAGUCUAUUUAAUGAGCUUUCAACUACAGGUAAUAGAUGUUAAACAGCCAAUUUAUAUUGGGGAAUCUUUGGUCAGAAUAUUAAUGGUUUCUCAACCUUGAGAAAGAAAUGAAACUGUUCGUAUUGCUAGUUAAGUGGGAGGUGGGAAUGUUUUUUACCAUCAAAGAAGAAACUAAAGAUUAAAUUAAUUGAGGGACAUAAAGGAGCAGUGUUAGAGAAAUUGAUAAAAUGUCAGUGAAUACUCAAGGGUGAUUUGAUGAAGACUAUUUUUUGCUGCGUGGUUAGCCUUUGACCUUCACAGUUCUUUUGACCUCAGCAAAUGAACCUACUUCUCAAUCUAAAAUUUGGUCCUCAUUUGGCAAAUGAAUGAAUUUAAACAUUGAGAAUUUGUGGCUUAUUCAUUUAUGUAGUAAUUAAUUCAUUCAUAGAGAUGGGACUAGACUGCUCGGGAUUGAAAAGAGUUAAUUUUCAGCUGGAGAGCACUUUAUUACUUGUGCUCUCCCUGAAUGACAACUUUAAAUUGUUUGAUUGGUUAUCCUUUGUGGUUUAGCUAUUGCCUGCAUAGUUUAAUGCUGCUUUUUUAUGGAAUUACCAUCUUUAAACUUUUUGCUCACUUCCCUCAAUCCCUCUGAAAACUUUUAUAACCUUUUACCCAUUUUUAGGUUAACAUCUAAAUCUCUAUCAUAAUUUAAAUAGUUGCAAAGUAUGUAUUGUCUUGAUGUAUAUUAAACUACAUUUUUAAAAGAAAACAAUUACAGUGCUUUUUGUAUGCAGUGGAAUCUUGAUACCAUCAUUCAUUUUUUAAAAUACACAAACUCUUUAACAUCAGAAAUUUUAUAAUAUUCCUCUUUCACCUUGAACUUGUAUUCCAGUAUCCUCACAAGAGUUUUAUCCUAAUAUAAUACAUUUUAUGUUUGAGAUUCUUUUUUAUUCAUCACCCUGUCAAUACUUUUUAGUUACAAAAUAGACAUUUUUAAAAUUUUUCAAUUCCUUGUUAUUCUUUAAAGCUCUAAAUUUUAAAAAUUUCAUUUGGCCAGGCACUGUGGCUUACGCCUAUAAUCCCAGCACUUUGGGAGGCUGAGGCAGAAGGAUCACUGGAGGCCAGGAGUUUGAGACCAGCCUGGCAACAUAGUGAGAUUCCAUCUCUACAAAAUCAGGAAAAAAAUUAGCUGGGCAUGGUGAUGCAUGCGUGUAGUCCCAGCUUGGGCCCAGGGAGUCAAAGGCCGUAGUGAGCUAUGAAUGUGUCACUGCAUCCACCUUAGGCAAUAGAGCAAGAACCUGGUCUAUCUC
rnacentral:sRNA from 1 species